ensembl:lincRNA
GAUGACGAAGCGAAAGUGUGGAAAAAGAUCCGUUCGGGGAAUUCCGCUGCACGUGGGACUGGAAGAGGCUCAAAAAGGGCGCGCACCAGAGCUUUUGCUGCAACUUGAUUGUUUCUCAAACUCUCUCUUGGACCUGCGCUGCGAACCCUCCAGAUGCCUCAGCUCGUGACAUCAUUGGUGUUUUUUGGCGCCCUUACUGGCAUUGAAAUUGCUUGCAGUCUCCAUCCUCUGUUUCUCAACGUUGGUAAUUUGCAGAAACAUGUCCACAACUAUGUUCCUGCUAUGGUAAGAGGUUGGAAGGUAGAUUCUUGAAGUGAACUUUAUUGGAGUGUUUUGACCCAAGGGGACUGACUAGAUGAUGCCCUGUUUGUGAUUGCAAUCACUCAUAAUUGAUCAAGGCUGAUUAAUCGACGAGCAAGAACACCGAUCACAGGGAGUCGAUUAUAAUGGAAUCUUGACGUUUUCUUUGAUAAUAGAGGAGGGAGUUUGGGGUUUGAGGGACAAAGGAUUGCCAGGAGGGGGAGGGCAGGGAGCAUCUUACCCCAGCAUUUCUCCACUUACACGUGAGACUGACACGGAAUGUAAAUGGUGGAGGUGUACUGGACGUGAAUGUAUCGGGGUUUUUUGUACCAAUACGAGUUUAGUAUCUUCCCCAUAUAUGACUCGUUUUACACCAAUGAUGCACUUUGACCCGAGGCUGGAGACUAACAGAUCAUUCUAUCUUUUCAGUUGAUCAAUUUCCCCAAAGAUUACUUCAUGAAUGUGACUCCAUUUCGGACAUUAAAAGAUGAAGACAACAAUCCGAUCAUUUGCAAUGUGGUUUGGACGAUGCUUCAAUGCCGAAAUGAUCUGGAUAAUCUGCUGAAACAACUCCAUGAGAUGCAUCCUAUGUACAAUUUCACCAAAUCCUUGAUAAAUUCUCUAUCGAGUACACUCCAUCAUCUGAAUAUGGGUGGUGAUUCUGCUGAUAACGGGAUGCACGAGCACCUAAAGAAUAAAAAAACACCAGCAUCACUGAUCGUGGAAAUGCAAGGCCUCUUCAGCAUUCUGCAAAGCACGGGAUUAAACAACUUUCAUGAGUGGAAUUGUUCCGAUCGCAGUCAAUUCCACGAUUCUGUCUCAGCAUUGCCUACUUCAGUCUAUGAUCAGCCUGCAACCACUCUGACUACAAAAACAAUGGCACCAACACCAACAUUUUCACCUCCACAAACAUCAGCAGCUCUUCCACAUCCUCGAUCCACUGCCAGUUCUGUGACCGAGCCUUUUUACAUCCACAACAAUGCAGACAUAACACCUAACAGCGAUGCUGAUGUGCACCACAGUUUCUCAGAAGACACAGCAUCGACCACGGACAAAGAUGGGCGCGCAGCUUCCACUCCUGCCUCUGAAAGUUCCGUUGGCAAUACUAUUGAGGAAACCACGAAAAAUGCGGACAAGGUACUUCCGAGCACGGUUUCAAUCACCAUCGUGGAGAAAAAAAGGAGUUUAAAGUUAUUACCAACGAAGAAAACGAUACCCACACACCAUACAAUUGGCAAACGAGACACACACAACCGAAGCCUUAGAGGUGGUGAAGCACAGACUCCACCGAUUGCUACCCCAAAUCCUCAAGGGUCCACUUCGACGGCUCAUCAGCUGCAUCUCACAUCCUGGGGACUUGUCUUUGCUCUCCUCUCGCCCAUUCUCUCAAACAUAGCAUGAGAUUCCCGACGUUUCAUUUUCCUCUCAGUAUUAUUUUGCGGACAUUGAAAAAACAGAUCUACGAGGAAAUACCAGGAAACUUAGACAAGAGUCCACAGUUACUUGUAUCUUCCAUUUUUGUAGGUGUGCUUGAUAUUUAGUAUUCGACGAGGGAAGUGUUUCAAUUCUCUCGUAUUGCUUAAAAUCUCCUAAGAUGGGUAUCGGAAGGUAGAACAAGACCCUUGACAUAGGGUCCCCUGAGUAAUCGGUUUCUUUUUCUUCGAGGUUCACCUUUCAUAGACCGAGUUGUGAUGUUAUCAAGUUCUAGUACAAAACGUUUUCAGGUGUUCCGUGUCAUAGCAGCGGCUCAAAGGACUCUCUUAAGGAAGUUAAUCCAGCUGUGUCGACUUCAUUGCUUUGUAGAUGACGUAUGAGUAUCGGGUUGUUAUUUUUUUGUCCAGGUGUUCAUGCAGGUACCAUGAAGUUGCUAAUUUAGUUCAUUUUGAGGUUGCCAAUUCCUCAAUUGGUGGGACACUCGGUGAAGCACAGGCAGAUUUGGGUGGUCAGAUUUGUUCAGACGAAACCUCGCACCUUUAUUAAGGUACUAAUGCAUCUUUUAUUUGUAAUAUUAUUAUUGUGAGGAUGUGGCCUCAAUGCCUACAGUUGCGCACUAAGGAGGAAUUUCAUUUACUUGAGUGAGUUUUGUUCCACUUGUUUUUCAGGUUGUGUUGUGUGCAUAGGAAAAAUGUCUUACACCUGUGUUGUAAAACGGUGUCCCGAUUGAAACAAACACAUUUUAUUGUUUCAGAGCAAAAUUACAGUCUCGACUCUAGUGUGAUCUGUUGUAAUUACCACAAAUUAUCCACUGAUGUCAUGUGGGACGACAUUGCCUCUUGACAUCAUAUUGCUAUCCCUACGUGUUGUUUGAUGGAAACAUGAUUGUGCACAAUGGAUUAUAAAAUAAAUUAUUUUCUUUAAUCUCCUUAAUGUUGACAAGAUGGCUUAGAGGUAGGUACGCACACUCGCUUCAAGGUUGUCUAGCCUGGGUUCGAUUUCCGACCCAACUAUGAACCGUCAGUCUGGUGUUUCACAGGCAGGGUGAUUCAUCAAUGUGUGCUGUCCCUUGGAAGGACGUCAAACGGACGUCCCGUCUGUUAGUAUUAGUUGAUGGACGUUAAAGAUCCCAUGGUGUCCUUCUUCAAGAGUAGGCAAGGUAUCGUCGGUACCAUGGCCAAAUUCCAAAUUCCUGCCCCCAACAAGUCGAGCAUCAGGCCUGGCCAGCCUGUUCGUGAAGACUCGGGCCAAGCCUCCCCUGGCCGCCCCCACAACAAAGGUGGGAUAUUGGUGGCCAUUAAAGAAGAAUUCGAAUUUUCCAAAUCUUGAGCUGUUGCAGCACUUUUAAACGAUUAUCUAACCCUAACCCUAACGUCAAUUUCACAGUGUCCAUGAGUGACAGGUGUGAAGCGAGGCCACCAGGCCAUAGGAGAAAGCAGUACUUCACAGUCAACGGCCUUGUAGCCAAUGGGAAGCUCAGUUUUACAAAGAGUCAAGCACCUGGGCAUCCAAAGUUAAGUGGCACGGACAGUAUUUGUUCUGAUGAUCAGACACCAGGCCAUCUGAGUAGAGUAAAUGUUUAACUUAGAAACUAAAUAGCUUUCGCCAAAAUACAAUUAAUUAACCAUGGUGGAGUCACAUUAAUGGUGGUGACAUAUGAAUUAUCUUGGUGGGAUCCCAUAAGCCCUAUGGCAGGGAAUAGAGCUCUCAUGACAAGUCGUGAGUGUUUCGAAGGAUAUAGUUAAUCCAGGACAGGUCACCACUCCAUUGUAGGGUGUAGCGUUUCCUCUUGGCAGCUUUGCUAAUUGAGCCUACACUAGUGGGAGCAAAUCAAUAAGACUUUAUCCAUGCCACCACCCAACAAGGCUUUACCCACUCCACCACCCAACAAAGCUUUACCCACUCCACCACCCAACACAUCCUUACCCAUUCCACCACCCAACACAUCCUUACCCAUUCCACCACCCAACAAGGCUUUAUAUCCACUCUACCACUGAAUUAAUCAAGCUCUGGCCAUACCAACACUGAACCACUCACUGUUCACUCCGAGGAAUUGUGAAAUUGAACAUUUGUAAAUACUUUACAUAAUAUCAUAUUCAUUUAUGCUUCUCAUUCUUGUUGACCUCAUACCUCCCCUCCAUUUCCCGCCCAAAGAACAACAACGAUGUGUGUGAUAAAGCUGUGAAUUUACAUUUUAUUUACCUUGCAAAGUUUGUUUUAUAUUUUUAUCAAAUUAUUUAUGUCGAUGUUGUAUUUUUUUAAACAACUGUUACAAUGAAAUAAAUAUUGUUCAGAGCCCCAUU